CACGUAGGGGGCAAGCGUUGUCCGGAUUUAUUGGGCGUAAAGAGCUCGUAGGCUGUUCGAUAAGUCGGGUGUGAAACCUCCAGGCUCAACCUGGAGACGCCACCCGAUACUGUCAUGACUAGAGUCCGGUAGGGGAGCGUGGAAUUCCUGGCGUAGCGGUGAAAUGCGCAGAUAUCAGGAGGAACACCGGUGGCGAAGGCGGUUCUCUGGGCAUGAUCUGACGCUGAGGUGCGAAAGCGUGGGGAGCAAACAGG
rnacentral:rRNA from 1 species